AUUAAAUCAGUUAUCGUUUAUUUGAUAGUACCUUACUACUUGGAUAACCGKGGUAAUUCUAGAGCUAAUACAUGCUAAAAACCCCGACUCCGGGAGGGGUGUAUUUAUUAGAUAAAAAACCAAUGCCCCUCGGGGCUCCUUGGUGAUUCAUGAUAACUUAACGAAUCGCAUGGCCUUGCGCCGGCGAUAGUUCAUUCAAAUUUCUGCCCUAUCAACUUUCGAUGGUAGGAUAGUGGCCUACCAUGGUAUCAACGGGUAACGGGGAAUUAGGGUUCUAUUCCGGAGAGGGAGCCUGAGAAACGGCUACCACAUCCAAGGAAGGCAGCAGGCGCGCAAAUUACCCAAUCCCGACACGGGGAGGUAGUGACAAUAAAUACUGAUACAGGGCUCUUUUGGGUCUUGUAAUUGGAAUGAGUACAAUUUAAAUCCCUUAACGAGGAACAAUUGGAGGGCAAGUCUGGUGCCAGCAGCCGCGGUAAUUCCAGCUCCAAUAGCGUAUAUUAAAGUUGUUGCAGUUAAAAAGCUCGUAGUUGAACCUUGGGCCUGGCUGGCCGGUCCGCCUCACCGCGUGCACUGGUCCGGCCGGGCCUUUCCUUCUGGGGAGCCGCAUGCCCUUCGCUGGGCGUGCCGGGGAACCAGGACUUUUACUUUGAAAAAAUUAGAGUGUUCAAAGCAGGCCUUUGCUCGAAUACAUUAGCAUGGAAUAAUGGAAUAGGACGUGUGGUUCUAUUUUGUUGGUUUCUAGGACCGCCGUAAU
rnacentral:rRNA from 1 species